rnacentral:rRNA from 1 species
UCCGUAGGUGAACCUGCGGAAGGAUCAUUACCGAGUGCGGGCUGCCUCCGGGCGCCCAACCUCCCACCCGUGACUACCUAACACUGUUGCUUCGGCGGGGAGCCCCCCAGGGGGCGAGCCGCCGGGGACCACCGAACUUCAUGCCUGAGAGUGAUGCAGUCUGAGUCUGAAUAAACAAAUCAGUCAAAAACUUUCAACAAUGGAUCUCUUGGUUCCGGCAUCGAUGAAGAACGCAGCGAACUGCGAUAAGUAAUGUGAAUUGCAGAAUUCAGUGAAUCAUCGAGUCUUUGAACGCACAUUGCGCCCCCUGGCAUUCCGGGGGGCAUGCCUGUCCGAGCGUCAUUACUGCCCUUCAAGCGCGGCUUGUGUGUUGGGUCCUCGUCCCCCCCGGGGGACGGGCCCGAAAGGCAGCGGCGGCACCGUGUCCGGUCCUCGAGCGUAUGGGGCUUUGUCACCCGCUCGAUUAGGGCCGGCCGGGCGCCAGCCAGCGUCAACUCUUCUCUUAAGGUUGACCUCGGAUCAGGUAGGGAUACCCGCUGAACUUAAGCAUAUCAAUAAGCGGAGGAAAAGAAACCAACCGGGAUUGCCCCAGUAACU